rnacentral:lncRNA from 1 species
AAAAUUAAUUUUGUCUAUAUAUAUAUUAGAUGUUCAAGAGAUCAGAGCCGAAGAGCUCUUGCCAACGGAAGUAAUGGACAAGCUAAAAAAAUUAGAAGACUCUGUUGAGAAUCUAAGUAAGCAAUUUGUUAUUGUUGUU